rnacentral:lncRNA from 1 species
ACGGACGCACUAGAGGCGACCUAAACAUGGAGACAGCGGGCGCUGCAACUGGGCAGCCGGCCUCUGGGCUGGAGGCUCCGGGGUCCACGAAUGACCGGCUUUUCCUGGUUAAAGGUGGAAUUUUCCUUGGUACCGUUGCUGCAGCGGGAAUGCUAGCUGGAUUUAUUACAACAUUAUCAUUGGCUAAAAAGAAAAGCCCUGAAUGGUUCAAUAAGAGGGAAGUAUGGCCACGGCUGCAUUACCGGAAAGCGGGUCUUCCCUUGCCUUGCGAGCUCUGGGCUGGGGCUCCCUGUAUGCAUGGUGUGGGGUUGGUGUGAUUAGCUUCGCAGUCUGGAAAGCUUUAGGAGUUCACAGUAUGAACGACUUUCGAAGUAAAAUGCAAUCAAUAUUUCCAACAAUUCCCAAGAACUCCGAAUCGGCUGUUGAGUGGGAGGAAACAUUGAAAUCCAAAUGAGAUGAGCAUGGAUGAAUUUCAAAAUGCUUGUUACAGAAAGGGGUGGCUCUGGAGACACCAUGACAGCAAAAGGACUGGGACUGAUUUCUCCCAGGAACAUGGGCAGAUUGCUGACUGAACCAGUGCACUGGAUAGCAUUCAGCCUCAUCACAGGAGAGUAUGUGUGUGCGUGCUGGGGGAGGGUAAAGUUUUCCCACAGUUAAGAAGACUAUUUAAAAAUAGUAAUUACAGGAAUAACUUCCUUAUGUGGAGGGGACCCCAUAGGAAAUGAUUCUGUUUGUAACAGUUGAAGCAAAUUUCAUACUAAAAAAGUUUAUAAUAAAAGUAUGAUAAGAAAAUAUUUAUAAAACAGACCCCCUAAUAGCAAUAGUACUGCAAUGUGUCUAAUUAAAGGAGUUUCAAGAGCCUUUCUUGUCAAUAUAUGACAGAACUUGGAAGUCUUAUUCUGAUUAGCCAGACUACAAAGUGACAGUCACCUGGUAAGUCCUGUAUGGUAGGAAGUGGGUGUGGCUCUCGGGUCCUAAAUGUGGUCUGUGCUUUACAGCCAUCACACACAUGCUAGUUAUUUACCUGAUGCCCUUGCUUGAAGGCCCUAUAAAUUCUUAUACUUAAAACAAAAAGCCAGUAAUGAGUUGUGAUCACCCCAAAAGGCACAGUUGGGCUAAAAUAAUGAUGAUAUCAGGGGUAAACAUAUUUUUUUGAGAAGUUGGUCUGGAUCUCUGAACACUGACAAUUUGUCAUUUUGUCUCAGUUGUCAAAGUAAAAAAAGCCCAGUUGUCAUCCGUCUUCAAUAUUUUUAACCAGAAAGUCACCUGAGUACGGAGUCCCAAUAUAAAGUAUUUGGGACCACCUCCCUAACAAAGCUGUUAGGGUAAAUUCUGUGUGCACGCCCAACUCCCUCCUGUCUUCCACAGUCUCCUACAAAAAAAACAGAUGGAGAAUAAUGUCUACAUGCAAUUGUUUUUACUGCAAUUGUAUUUUAAAAUAUUUUCAAGAAGAGAAAUACUUUAAUAUGUCAAUAUGUCCAGAGAAAAAACCUGUAGUUAAAU